rnacentral:tRNA from 1 species
GAGAGUAUAGCUCAGUGGUAGAGUGUGUGCUUAGCAUGCACGAGGUCCUGGGUUCAAUCCCCAAUGUCUCCA